rnacentral:lncRNA from 1 species
CAUCUGAAUAUCUCCAGGGAAGGAGACUCCACCACCUCUCUGGGCAACCUGUUCCAGUGCUCUGUCACCCCCACAGUGAAGAAGUUUUUCCUCAGGUUUAGAUGGAAAUUCCUGUGGUUCAGUUUGUGCCCGUUACGUCUUGUCCUGUCACUUGGCACCACGGACAAGAGGCUCCAUACAAAGGCUCCAUGCAAAAUUAGUAUUUGCCACAGUAUAGUGGAAUAAUUUUCCACAGCAUACAUUAUCAUUUAUAAGAUUUUUCACCUCUUACUUUGCACAUACUGUUCGUUUCAUUAGUCCCCUUGCCAUCUCUUCUGAAGGAAUACUGAGAAUCCAAAAUGGAGAAUUUACACAAAAUAAAAGCAUUCUGAUUUCUGUACAGGUUGGACCCUCCGGUUCCUCUCGGAACAGCUAUACAAGUGGUCAGAGUGGAGUAGUCUACUCAAUAAGCAAGAGCGGAUGUGUCCCAGGAGGGACUGCUGAUGCAUACAGCAGACAUGCCUGCAAAGAUAGUGCAUCCUCAUAUAGACCUGGUCUUACCUAUGGCCAGUCUGUCCCUGCAAGCAGUUCAGAUUCCAGUAAGAAGGUGGUGGUCAUUGCUAACAGCAAUCCUUUCCCACCUGUGCGUCAUACCUACCCGCAGCUCUUGGGCAGUUCUGCUACUAAGGUCAUAAUACAGGAUGGACGAAGACAACACAGCAGCAGCUAUACUUAUGCUCAGGGUUACCAGCCUCAAGGUGGCAGUUCCUAUGGCCAGGUAAGCACCUCUCAGUCACCAGUCAGUACACAGCAUUUAAGGAAGUGGAGGGUCAUGGCGGCACCGUGAAAGUGCUAUACAGUCACUCUGAGUUUGGAAUUCAAAGGACGUUUUCUCUGAAAGCGUGUGUUCCCACGGUUUCGAGUAGUCCACGUGCUGUUUGUUUAUUUGAAACCCCG